rnacentral:misc_RNA from 1 species
GAAAUGCGAUAAGUAGUGUGAAUUGCAGAAUUCAGUGAAUCAUCGAAUCUUUGAACGCACCUUGCGCUUCCUGGUAUUCCGGGGAGCAUGCCCGUUUCAGAAUCAUUAAAAUCUCACAAAUAUAUGUGUCAACGCAUAUAAUAUUGUGGAUUUGGUUGUUUUGCCACCGGCAAUCAUCAGAAAAAGAUUGUAUGUGCGCCAACAGGACAAAAUUGGUUAUCAAAAGUGCAACAGAGGAAACUCCAACCACUUUUAGCAAUUGAUUUUGAUACUGAUGGAAUAUAUGCUCCAACUAUCAACAAGUGUCAAACUAUUUUGGUUUGCUACUUGAUAACUUGGUCUGAAAUCGGGCAAGAAAACCCGCUGAACUUAA